GACGGAGGAGGCAAGCGUUAUCCGGAAUUAUUGGGCGUAAAGCGUCCGCAGGCGGCUUUUUAAGUCUGUUGUCAAAGCCCACAGCUCAACUGUGGAUCGGCAAUGGAAACCGGGAAGCUAGAGUGUGGUAGGGGUAGAGGGAAUUCCCGGUGUAGCGGUGAAAUGCGUAGAUAUCGGGAAGAACACCAGUGGCGAAGGCGCUCUACUGGGCCACAACUGACGCUGAGGGACGAAAGCUAGGGGAGCGAAAGGG
rnacentral:rRNA from 1 species